UCGGGAAUUUUGGGCAAUGGGCGAAAGCCUGACCCAGCAACGCCGCGUGAAGGAUGAAGUAUUUCGGUAUGUAAACUUCGAAAGAAUAGGAAGAAUAAAUGACGGUACUAUUUAUAAGGUCCGGCUAACUACGUGCCAGCAGCCGCGGUAAUACGUAGGGACCAAGCGUUGUUCGGAUUUACUGGGCGUAAAGGGCGCGUAGGCGGUGUGUCAAGUCAGUUGUGAAAUCUCCGAGCUUAACUCGGAACGGUCAACUGAUACUGUCACACUAGAGUACAGAAGGGGCAAUCGGAAUUCUUGGUGUAGCGGUGAAAUGCGUAGAUAUCAAGAGGAACACCUGAGGCGAAGGCGGGUUGCUGGGCUGAUACUGACGCUGAGGCGCGAAAGCUAGGGUAGCAAACGGGAUUAGAUACCCGAGUAGUCCCUGAGCGGGCUGGCAAGGCGCAU
rnacentral:rRNA from 1 species